rnacentral:rRNA from 1 species
AGAACUUAGCAGAGAUGCUUUGGUGCCUUCGGGAACUCUGAGACAGGUGCUGCAUGGCUGUCGUCAGCUCGUGUUGUGAAAUGUUGGGUUAAGUCCCGCAACGAGCGCAACCCUUAUCCUUUGUUGCCAGCGGCUCGGCUGGGAACUCAAAGGAGACUGCCGGUGAUAAACCGGAGGAAGGUGGGGAUGACGUCAAGUCAUCAUGGCCCUUACGGCCAGGGCUACACACGUGCUACAAUGGCGCAUACAAAGAGAAGCGACCUCGCGAGAGCAAGCGGACCUCAUAAAGUGCGUCGUAGUCCGGAUUGGAGUCUGCAACUCGACUCCAUGAAGUCGGAAUCGCUAGUAAUCGUAGAUCAGAAUGCUACGGUGAAUACGUUCCCGGGCCUUGUACACACCGCCCGUCACACCAUGGGAGUGGGUUGCAAAAGAAGUAGGUAGCUUAACCUUCGGGAGGGCGCUUACCACUUUGUGAUUCAUGACUGGGGUGAAGUCGUAACAAGGUAAGCGUAGAUGA